UUAAUAUAUCCAGGAUAUAUUGAACUUUCGAAAAAUCUAUGAGAAAAUGAUUUGAUCAUCUUUUAUUGUGGGAGUAUUAUCCUUAGAAUGUACCCAUUGAAAGAAUCAAUUAUUGAUAAUGACUAGUAUAUUUUGUAACUAGUUGAAACCUUUACCAGAUAAAUAUUGCUUUAUGGUUAUCUAAUUUGGAAUGGAUCCUACAAAUCAUAUUAAUGAUCCCCUAUUGCUUGACACUGUCAAUGAUUCUCCUGUUUUACAACUAUCUGUCUGGAUAGUUGAAGAUGUAGGAUGAUAGGAAAUAUUGGCUUCAAAAAACUAUAAAAAAAUGAACAUUUUAUUAAAGGGAGAGUGAAUUUGGUGUAAUCUAUAUCAAAUGGAGAGGCUUUUAACAGUUGGAGUUCUUGGUGAUUUCAGUAAAUGAAUUGUGACUCAUCACUACUUUUAUGUAUGUACAAUUCUGCAAGUAAACCAAAGAGGAAGGUCACUAUCCUAUUGGAUUACACUUAACCUCUUCACUCCGUAGGUCCACAUAUGUGGACUUCAUAAUCCCUGUUUGUAAAACUCUCUGAAGGACUACUCUUGUUUUUAUUUUAGCACUAUCCUAUUAGAUUUCACUUAACCUCUUCACUCCGUAGGUCCACAUAUGUGGACUUCAUAAUCCCUGUUUGUAAAACUCUCUGAAGGACUCUGAAUGACUAAAACUCUCUGAAGGAAUGGCGACUUCUUUGCGUCCUCGAAAAUGUAAGUAAUUUUCAGUAUUUUAAAUAUUAUUUAUAGAUCCAAUAAAAUUAUUUUUAAUUAACUUAAUCUUUCAACAUCUUAGAAUAGUUUUGUUUGUAAAAAUGUUUUAUUGAAAAUCUGUGCCAAGAAUUAUAAUUAGGUACACAUUUGUGUAACUUUGUCCCCUAUGUUUAAAUUAUUGUAAUAUGAUAGAAGUGUGUUAAUGAAUAAUUAUCGUUUAAAUUGUGAUUUAAUUAUUGUUUAAUAGUAAGUAAUUAUUGUUUAAAUGCAUAAGUAUGUUAAUUAUUUGUUUUUUUUUACUCAAUUAAUUUGUUCUAAUUAUCGCUAUUAGAACAUUAUAUUAGAACAUUGUACAAUAGUUUAACAAAAACUAAACAUUAGUAAGCUGAGUUAUUAUCUUUAGUAAAGCAUUCUAUGUUAAUAGAUGUAUUACUUACAUGAGCAAUAUUAUUUUUUUUACUUUUAUAUUUUAUUCUGAAUAAUGUGCCGGCUUUGUCCUAGUUUAAAAUAAAUUGGUUGGUUUUAUAAACUGCUACUAAAAAUUGAUGUAACUAUUUUUUAAAUGUGGAUAAUAGCACAUAUUUGACAAUAGUAUCUAAAUUAUAGAUUUGUAACAACAAAAUAAUAUAAACAUUUGUGUAUAUGGGAAAUAAAACUUGUAUUAAACUUGUUGGUUAUAAAUUGUUGAACUGAAACUGCUGUUUUUACAUGAAUGACCAAAGCUUUUUAUUUCUAGAAAUCACAGUAUAAGUGCUCUCUUGUGUUAAUUGUAAGGGUGGUGAAAAUAACUAUCUUAAUACAAAAACACAUAUCUACAUGAUUUUCAUCACUUACUUAUUACUAAAAUAAUUACUAGCUGUUUUAUUGUUAUUAUAUACUGUUUUGAUUGUUCAAUUAGAUUGUUUAUCUAUUUAUAAAAUUAGAAUUUUAUAUAUAUUUGUGUUGCUUGAUGGUGUAUAUCUUUGUUGAAAAGGGAAAAUUAAAUUCCUUAUUUCAUACUUAUUUUUAUGUUUUUCCUUUUGAAGUUUGAAAGGUGUUCUUAUAAAAUCUUUUGUCCAAUUCUCCUUUUUUUUUUAAAUGCAGGUCAAGUUUAGAAAAACUUUUCUUUCUUAAUUUGUUAAUAAACCCAAGGUGGAACCAGCUCAGCAUCAAUAUAGCAUGUCUGGCAUUGUUACUAAAGCAGUUAUAGUGUUUAAAAAUGUGAUGUAUGUCACAAAAUAACCAAGGUUCAUGUUGAACUGUGUUCAAUAUUUUUUAAAAAUUUUAACUGUGUUUUUUUUUCUUUAUUAAAAAAAUGUAAUUGUUUUAGCUCACUCUGAUAAACCAUUGCUUAAAAUGUAAAUGAUUUUGUUGAACUAUGUUAUAAAAUUUCUUUCUGACCUCAUAUGAUGAAAGUUUGUUAUAAUCUUUUACAGUGAAUGUCAGGAACAAACUAUAUACUAUUCCCCAUUGAUAAUAUUGCAUAAUUUAUUCCACGGUGCAAUCAGUUUGAUAAGUGGGGAGUAGGUUUAUUUUUGUCACUAAUGCUAGUCUAUGGGCCACAUGAAAGAUUGUAUAAGCAUUUUGCUUAGAUAACAUUCCAUAAUAAUUUUUCUAGUUUAAUUUCACAGCUUAAAAAUUUUGUCAUGUGUAAUUACUUAUCACUUCAUUUCAUAUUUUAGUUUAUUAUUUCAUUUGCUUUAGUGUAUGUUUUUGAUUUGUAAUGUUUUGUAAGCUAUGUGAUUUGUUUCUCUAUAAUUAAAAUUGUAUUAAAAAUUUAGCUAUAUAAUUAAAAUCUAUUAGUGUUAUUUUCAAGUUUUCUGUUUUUACCUCAUAUAGGUACUGUUAUCAGUAAUAUUAGCUAUAAUAUCAAUUCAAACAACUUACUAUUUGAUUUUUUUUGUUUAAAAGCUUAUAGUGUGUCAAGUUUUUUUAAAAAAAUUUCAAAUAUGUUAUUUUUAUUCAUUAUUCCUUUAAGUGUAGAGCCCCUGGGUAAAAUUAUACAGAUAUUUUCCUGGUAUGUUUCAUUUUCUCAUUAUAUAACAUGAAGAAACCAGUUUUUUGGUGUAAGAAACGUAACUGAAAGUUUGGAAAAAUCCUGGACUAACUCUCAGAGGGUUAAAAAUGUAAUACUGAUAAACUAUUCUUUAAAAUGUCUUAAUAAUUGUUAAAUUUUCGAUCUCAAGUUCUCAUAUACACAUUCAUACAUCAAUUUUAAAGUAUGACCUGACUUUGCAUUUAAUUUUUUUAAAUCUGUGGUGUGUUAAGUUCCACAAUUUUAAUAGAAAUUGUUCACAUUUUAUAUAUGUACUUUUUAAAAAUUUUGUAAUAUAUGUAUAUAUUAAAUAAGUAUGUAUAUUAUAUUGUUAAGAGUUUAAAUAUCUUUUAAAAACUCUUUAUUCUGAAGUGUCUUUAAGUGCAGUAUUUAGAACUUCUUGUUAAAGUUAAAACACUAUUUUGAAAUAAAGAAGUUUUAUCCUUUUUUUAUUUA